rnacentral:lncRNA from 1 species
AUUUUUGCUGUGGAAUGAAGUGCAGCUGUGUAGCUGAUGGGUGCAGCAGCUUGUGUCCAUCUGUUUUUGUAGCACAGGAUCACUGGCAGGACUACGUGAAGACAGGCUCAGGAAAGCAGAGCGGGGGGAAGAACCUGUUAGGCAGCUAGCAUUAGGAAGUGUGACUGUGCCAGCAUUGAUGGACACUGAAUUAUAACCAAACGCUGAUGAGAUGCUCCAGGAGGGCAGCAGAGGAGUGUGCAGGCAUCCUGAGGCCAGAGCUGUACUAUCCAGCCCAGAUGGGGAAAAGCAUGUCAAGGAAAUGAAGCCAAGACUCUCCAAGCCUCUUGCUCUGUCCUGAAGAAUCCAGUCAUAGGUUGAUCCAUGUCAUCCUGCAUCAAAUGUAAGAGGAAAGAGUGUUACCACAUAAACCACAGCAGGUACCCUCUCACAGCUUGUGUUUCCUGCAAUCCAGGCAGUUCUGUCCUGCACUCCAUAUCUACAUUGAAAUUCAUAAAGAGAAAAGCACUUUAAGAAGGACUUUAUAAAGAAAAAAUGGGAAACCACCCUCACUGGACAUGAAGAAGUUUUGUCAUUGCACCUACUGCUGCUAUAGUUCAGAUGUGCUCACAGAGAAUGUCAAGGGCAGUGAACAAAAUUCUCAACCAUUUCCCAGACAAGGAGAGAAACAUGUUUGCAUAACUUCCAUGAUGCUUCUAUUUCCAUAAAGUUAAUGCAAAAUUUUCAGAGAUAAACAUGACAGAACAUGCUAGCUUCUCUUUCCAAGGUACAGCAGGGACUGUCUUCUCUUCCUCAGAAGUGUCCUUCAGCCAGUGCUCUCUCUGGAAAGCACGCCAGGAUUUUUCUCCUAGGGGUUUCUCUGCCAGGGGUUUCUGUGCUCAGGACUGGGACAGCUGUGCUCUCUUCUCUGGUCUGUUCUGCCUCUGCACAUCACACCACCUCCCUGGCCACCCAUGGCUUUGUGCCAGCAGUGCUGGGCCCCCAGGACUGUGGCAGGACCCACCAGUUUAACUGUUCCUUGCAACCCUCUAA